GUUAGGGGGUUUCCGCCCCUUAGUGCUGCAGCUAACGCAUUAAGCACUCCGCCUGGGGAGUACGGUCGCAAGACUGAAACUCAAAGGAAUUGACGGGGGCCCGCACAAGCGGUGGAGCAUGUGGUUUAAUUCGAAGCAACGCGAAGAACCUUACCAGGUCUUGACAUCCUCUGACAAUCCUAGAGAUAGGACGUCCCCUUCGGGGGCAGAGUGACAGGUGGUGCAUGGUUGUCGUCAGCUCGUGUCGUGAGAUGUUGGGUUAAGUCCCGCAACGAGCGCAACCCUUGAUCUUAGUUGCCAGCAUUCAGUUGGGCACUCUAAGGUGACUGCCGGUGACAAACCGGAGGAAGGUGGGGAUGACGUCAAAUCAUCAUGCCCCUUAUGACCUGGGCUACACACGUGCUACAAUGGGCAGAACAAAGGGCAGCGAAACCGCGAGGUUAAGCCAAUCCCACAAAUCUGUUCUCAGUUCGGAUCGCAGUCUGCAACUCGACUGCGUGAAGCUGGAAUCGCUAGUAAUCGCGGAGCAGCAUGCCGCGGUGAAUACGUUCCCGGGCCUUGUACACACCGCCCGUCACACCACGAGAGUUUGUAACACCCGAAGUCGGUGAGGUAACCUUUAUGGAGCCAGCCGCCGAAGGUGGGACAGA
rnacentral:rRNA from 1 species